rnacentral:rRNA from 1 species
UACGUAGGGGGCAAGCGUUGUCCGGAAUUAUUGGGCGUAAAGAGCGUGUAGGCGGUCCGGUAAGUCAGCUGUGAAAGUCAAGGGCUCAACCCUUGAAUGCCGGUUGAUACUGUCGGGCUAGAGUCCGGAAGAGGCGAGUGGAAUUCCCGGUGUAGCGGUGAAAUGCGCAGAUAUCGGGAGGAACACCAAUGGCGAAGGCAGCUCGCUGGGACGGUACUGACGCUGAGACGCGAAAGCGUGGGGGAGCGAACAGG